rnacentral:lncRNA from 1 species
CCAAUUAAAUGCCAUGCGGUCACCAUAUUCUUUUAGUAUUCGAGAAGAUAAUGCUAUUAUCAUUAUUAUUACUAUUAUUAUUAUUUGAUAAAAGAUGAGGCUAUAGUUGUGUAUUAGUGCAUUUGAACUUAGUCAUCUGACAUAUAACAAGAUCAUAUGUAUAAAAUAUCUUGGUCUUCCUAUAUAAUUGAAGUAGUAGUAUGAAGUUUGAAGGUGUCAAAUCCCUUCCAUCUUUCAGAAUAGUGAA